rnacentral:rRNA from 1 species
CGGACGGGGUGAGUAAUGUCUGGGAAACUGCCCGAUGGAGGGGGAUAACUACUGGAAACGGUAGCUAAUACCGCAUAACGUCGCAAGACCAAAGAGGGGGACCUUAGGGCCUCUUGCCAUCGGAUGUGCCCAGAUGGGAUUAGCUAGUAGGUGGGGUAAUGGCUCACCUAGGCGACGAUCCCUAGCUGGUCUGAGAGGAUGACCAGCCACACUGGAACUGAAACACGGUCCAG